rnacentral:rRNA from 1 species
AUAUUGGGCAAUGGCCGAGAGGCUGACCCAGCCAUGCCGCGUGCAGGACGAAGGCUUUCUGAGUCGUAAACUGCUUUUGCCAGGGAAGAAUAAGGCCCAUGCGUGGGCCGACGCCGGUACCUGGUGAAUAUGCACCGGCUAACUCCGUGCCAGCAGCCGCGGUAAUACGGAGGGUGCAAGCGUUGUCCGGAUUUAUUGGGUUUAAAGGGUGCGUAGGCGGUCCGUUAAGUCCGGGGUGAAAGCCCACUGCUCAACAGUGGAACUGCCCUGGAAACUGGCGGACUUGAGUACAGACGAGGGUGGCGGAAUGGAUGGUGUAGCGGUGAAAUGCAUAGAUACCAUCCAGAACCCCGAUUGCGAAGGCAGCUGCCUAGACUGUAACUGACGCUGAGGCACGAAAGCGUGGGGAGCGAAC